GACGAACGCUGGCGGCGUGCUUAACACAUGCAAGUCGAACGGAGUGGCGAACGGGAGAGUAACACGUGGGUGACCUUCCCUGCACUUCGGGCAAAGCCUGGGCAACUGGGUUUAAUGCAGGAUAGGGUGGGAUGGGCCCGCGGCCUAUCAGCUGGUUGGUGGGGUGAUGGCCUACCAAGGCGGCGACGGGUAGCCGGCCUGAGAGGGUGGACGGCCACAUGGGGACUGAGACACGGCCCAGACUCCUACGGGAGGCAGCAGUGGGGAGUAGUGCACAAUGGGCGGAAGCCUGAUGCAGCGACGCCGGGUGGGGGAUGACGGCCUUCGGGUUGUAAACUCCUUUCACCAUCGACGCGGUAGAUGGAGAAGAAGCACCGGCUAACUACGUGCCAGCAGCCGCGGUAAUAC
rnacentral:rRNA from 1 species